rnacentral:rRNA from 1 species
UUGUAACAAGGUCUCCGUUGGUGAACCAGCGGAGGGAUCAUUACCGAGUUUACACUCCCCAAACCCAAUGUGAACGUUACCAAACUGUUGCCUCGGCGGGAUCUCUGCCCCGGGUGCGUCGCAGCCCCGGACCAAGGCGCCCGCCGGAGGACCAACCAAAAACUCUUUUGUAUACCCCCUCGCGGGUUUUUAUAUCUGAGCCAUCUCGGCGCCUCUCGUAGGCGUUUCGAAAAUGAAUCAAAACUUUCAACAACGGAUCUCUUGGUUCUGGCAUCGAUGAAGAACGCAGCGAAAUGCGAUAAGUAAUGUGAAUUGCAGAAUUCAGUGAAUCAUCGAAUCUUUGAACGCACAUUGCGCCCGCCAGUAUUCUGGCGGGCAUGCCUGUCCGAGCGUCAUUUCAACCCUCGAACCCCUCCGGGGGGUCGGCGUUGGGGAUCGGCCCUUUACGGGGCCGGCCCCGAAAUACAGUGGCGGUCUCGCCGCAGCCUCUCCUGCGCAGUAGUUUGCACACUCGCAUCGGGAGCGCGGCGCGUCCAUUGCCGUAAAACACCCAACUUUCUGAAAUGUUGACCUCGGAUCAGGUAGGAAUACCCGCUGAACUUAAGCAU